AUUUAAAGUGCUUUAGGGUGGCAGCUGUUCAUUUCUGCACAUUCCAAUGCCUUAAGGAGAAUUAUUCUCCAGGCUUAUUUUUGUCAGUGUGUGCCUUGGUGUUGCAAUACCAUUCGUCUUCCCUCUCUAACAUCCCAGAUGUCCCUGAAGUCACUGGGAGAAGAAACCACACGAGACAAAUGCUGGUUGAGACUAAAAUAUUGUUCGAGUGUGCGUUAAUCUUUUUUCUUUUCCCAAACAGGUGCCAAUUCAUCAGCCCAGAUCCAAGGAAGGAUGUGGGCUCUGCAUUCUUUGUUUCUAGGCAUUAGACCUUCCAGAGAGACCCAGAGUGCUGGGAAGGCGCCUGGCUCCGUACAGCACCUGAGGAAGAGGCUAAUCACUACUGAAUGCAAAAUGCAACAGCUGCUGCUGAUGAAAGCCACAAAGGGACCAGUGCAAAGGGGAUGUGUGAUGAAGCUACGCACUCCAUCCUGGUUCAGGGGUUGGUUGAGUUAAGGAGACUGCAGUCACCAGAGGCACAAAACCAACAGUCUCAGCACUUUUGUGGUUUCUUCCUGUAAUCUUUGCAACAGCUUCCAGGUUAGACCUAAGGUGUUGGUUUUCUCUUCCUCUCAGCUUCCCCUAAAGCCCCGUGCAGAAGUACUUUCCUCCAGAGCAGGCUGGAAAGCCUCAAAUGGUGAUUAACCAAAGGUGCCCACUGCAGAAAGUAGGCUAGAAAAACCUGCUCUGCAAAUUGCUCCAACUCUCUCCACCCUAGGCAAAGAGUAGUUUUUAGGAACCUUUCUUGUGGUUUGAGUAAAAUCCCAUUAAAAGGCCACCAGAGGGGGUAGCUUCCACUGCUGCACAGAAGACCCAGAGAGCUGGUGCCAGCAUGGCACACAUUACUGUUAUUAUUUAUAGUACUCUACCUAUACUUAUGUAAGUGGUGCUAAUUAGUAGAUGGAAUUAGCCAACUGCUCUCGGCAGCAUAAUUGUAAAUAAUUUCCUAACGUUUCACUCACUGAGUAAUGAGUUUCUCCUGGAAACACAAAAGAUGAACUAAUGAUAAUCUGGCAGUUUCCAGCAAGAUGACAAACAUUAAUUAUAUGGGAUUAGGAUGUGAUCCUCCAAUUUAAGUCAGUUUGGCAUUUCUAGGCAGAGUUGGAUCUAAGAACUUUAGUGGACUCGCUUGUCUGCAACAUUUUAUGUUGUUUUAUUUUUCUUUUUCCUAAUUUUAAGCUGCCUUUUAGCUUUAUGUUUUACCCAUAUAUCCAGCCACCACCAACUGCUUUGUGGGCAGAACUGCCAGGCCAGGCUUUCUGACAAGAUAGUCAUAUAAUUAUGCAUGAAAAAUAUGUACAGUGUCAGGCUAAUUUGCGUUUAAAAAUGACUGUGCCAAGAGACUGGCCCACUGACCAUUCGGGGCUGGAGCUGGGCUCUUGGUGCCUUUAUGAUUAGGCAGAUACGGGAUGCUUAAACGUGGGGCAUGCAAAGUACUCAGGUCAGCUCCAGAAGAGUGGUGCCAGUAAUACUGGGACACAAAAUAUUCACUGACCAAGGCCAUGUCAGCAAACGGGACCUUUGAUGCUUUUCAAGGGGCUCUGCUAACUGCUGAAUGUCCUUGGAAACUUCCUUUGAGCUAAUGUGCGAACUCUGGAGCUAAGGUGGAAUCCUAAUCGCAGGGACAAGCUUCAUCUACUGAUGCAGCCUUACUUCUUCCGGAUCCAGCAAGGUUUUUCACACAAAACGCUGACCAAAUCCAUCUUUCCAUCUACAUCUACAGAGAUGUCGAUAUGAAACUGGGAGUAAGGAUGCAGACUCAAGCUAAAGAAGUUCAUUUUAAAAUUUCUGAGUUCCACUCAUCCUUAUGUAUUCUGAAUAAGAUGCAGGGCAAUUGCAGUUUCCACAUUUGUGGAAAAUGGAAUUUGGUAUAUGGUAAUCUUACUGUUUUCCUCAUAUUCACUAGUUUUCUAUAAAUAAUAAAAAUGCAUGAUAAUCAC
ensembl:lncRNA